GUAGGUGGCAAGCGUUGUCCGGAAUUAUUGGGCGUAAAGCGCGCGCAGGCGGUUCUUUAAGUCUGAUGUGAAAGCCCACGGCUCAACCGUGGAGGGUCAUUGGAAACUGGAGAACUUGAGUACAGAAGAGGAAAGCGGAAUUCCACGUGUAGCGGUGAAAUGCGUAGAGAUGUGGAGGAACACCAGUGGCGAAGGCGGCUUUCUGGUCUGUAACUGACGCUGAGGCGCGAAAGCGUGGGGAGCAAACAGGAUUAGAUACCCUGGUGGUCCACGCCGUAAACGAUGAGUGCUAAGUGUUAGGGGGGUUUUCCGCCCCCCUUAGUGCUGCAGCUAACGCAUUAAGCACUCCGCCUGGGAGUACGGCCGCAAGGCUG
rnacentral:rRNA from 1 species